rnacentral:rRNA from 1 species
UACGUAGGGACCUAGCGUUGUCCGGAAUCAUUGGGCGUAAAGCGCGUGUAGGCGGCUCGGCAAGUCCGAUGUGAAAGCCUGGGGCUCAACCCCGGGACUGCAUUGGAAACUGCCCUGCUAGAGUUCGGAAGAGGGGACUGGAAUUCCUGGUGUAGCGGUGAAAUGCGCAGAUAUCAGGAAGAACACCGGUGGCGAAGGCGGGUCCCUGGGACGAUACUGACGCUGAGACGCGAAAGCGUGGGGAGCAAACAGG